rnacentral:lncRNA from 13 species
CUUGCUUAGUCACGCCCGUCAGCCGGUUAGCGCCGAGCGCGGCAGUGGCUGCCCAUGUAAACCGAUUGGCUGGUGGGUUUGACAGUCUUGUCCGAUGCACAAGGGCGGGGUUCUCGGUCGGUGGAACUGAAUUACCGGCCGAAGAAAACUUACCCUUGUUGAGCCUUGAGAAUGAAGUGACACCACAUCACAUUUCAGUAACUGGGAUCUGUGAUCUGAAAUCUUUACAACCAGAUUUUUUUCUCUACACCGGAAAACAUAGGAUUUGAUUUUGAUAAGGGUGGGAGGUGUGGGGUGGGGUUGG